AUACAUCCUACCGCUGUACAUUCUACUUCUAUACAUUCUACCGCUAUACAUCCUAACAUUGUGUAUGGUAAUGACGUUACUUAUGGCAAUAAUAUCCCAUACUGUGAAGACCUUGUUUAUGGUAAUGGUAGUGGUAGUGCAAAUCGCAACUACAUAUACAAAAAUAGUUACCCGAAUUAUAAUGAACUUGGUUUUUGUACGGAAAGACAAAAUGAAUUUAUUCCACAACAAAAAAUGUUAAUGAAAUAUAAAUUUCAAAUUGAAGAUUUUGUGUUAGGAUAUGAUCAACUAGUAUUAGCCCCAUUAGAAAAGAUGAAAAGAGGUUAUAAUAGUUUGGUUAUAUUAAUUAAAAGUAUUGCUUAUAUAAGAUGCUCAGUUGAUAUAUUUUGUGUUUGUACAUCUAUAACAUUAGAUAAAUUACAACAUGUUAAUAAUGAAAUAAUUCGUAUUUUUACAGCUAAUGAUGAUCAUAGUGAUUUACAUGAAUCUAUAUUAGAUGGUGUAAAAAAAAAAAUAAAAACUCCUUUUUUUAAUGCAUUAAAAUCUUAUGCUGAGAGACCUAUUGGUGUAUUUCAUGCAUUAGCAAUAAGUAAAGGUAAUAGUGUAAGAAGAAGUAGAUGGAUACAAUCAUUACUUGAUUUUUAUGGAGUUAAUUUAUUUAAAGCAGAAUCAAGUGCUACAUGUGGUGGUUUGGAUUCUUUAUUAGAUCCACAUGGUUCAUUGAAAGAAGCACAAAUGAUGGCUGCACGAGCAUAUGGGAGUAAAUAUUGUUUUUUUGUUACUAAUGGAACUUCAAGUUCAAAUAAAAUUGUUUUACAAGCUUUGGUAAAACCAGGAGAUAUUAUUUUAGUGGACAGAGCUUGUCAUAAAUCUCAUCAUUAUGGUUUUGUAUUAACACAAACAUUACCAUGUUAUUUAGAUCCAUAUCCUAUAUCUAAGUAUAGUAUAUAUGGUGCUGUACCUAUAUAUGUAAUAAAAAAAACAUUAUUGGAAUACCGUGACAGUAAUAAAUUACAUUUAGUUAAAUUAAUAAUAUUAACAAAUUGUACAUUCGAUGGUAUUGUAUAUAAUGUUAAAAGAGUAAUGGAAGAAUGUUUGGCUAUAAAACCAGACUUAAUUUUUUUAUUUGAUGAAGCAUGGUUUGCUUAUGCCUGUUUUCAUCCUAUACUUAAAGUUCGUACAGCUAUGACUGUAGCUGAAAAAAUGCGUUGUAUUGAACAAAAAAAAAUCUAUGAGAAGGUACAUAAAAAAUUACUACGAAAAUUUAAUAAUGUAAAAAGUUUGAACGAAGUACCUAUGCAAACAUUAUUAAAAACAAGAUUAUAUCCAAACCCGAAUUUAUAUAAAGUUAGAGUAUAUGCUACUCAAUCAAUACAUAAAUCAUUAACAUCCUUAAGACAAGGAAGUGUUAUAUUAAUAAACGACGAUAAUUUUGAAUCACAUGCUUAUAUACCUUUUAAAGAAGCGUAUUAUACACAUAUGUCUACAUCACCAAAUUACCAAAUAUUAGCUACGUUAGAUGCAGGUAGAGCACAGAUGGAAUUAGAAGGAUAUUCUUUAGUAGAAAAACAAGUAGAAUCUGCUUUACUCAUACGUAAGGAACUAAGUGAAGAUCCUAUGAUUUCAAGUUAUUUUCGUAUAUUAAAUGCUGAUGAUUUAAUACCAGACAGUUUGAGAUUAUGUGCUGUAUCGUAUAUGAAAAAUAAAAAGGGCGAGCAAUGUAUAGCUAAUGAGAAUCUUUCUUUGGAUCAUACCAGAGGAAUACUUAAUAAUAAUCAAGGAGGUAUCAUUAGUGGUGUUGUUGGUGUUGGUAGUACCAUUGCUGGUGUUGCUGGUGUUGCUGGUG
ensembl:lncRNA